AUGACUGUGUUCUUUUAGGUUCUGAGAGCUGCUCCCUCUUUUUGCCCCAAUUCAGUUUAGGGGUGAAAACAGCUCAAUUGUAACUAGCCCCUUGUUAGUGACUACCUUUUUUGUGUGUGAUUUUCCUCACUUAUAUCUUUUUAAAAUAGUCUCUCUUACUAAGCCUCCCAUGCUUGAUCAUGUUUUAUUUGUGCUGUUACCUGUUGGGAUCCUAAAUGAUAGCCGAUGUUAGCUCCAAACCUCACUUCAGAAAUUCUACUGAUCUUCUUUGGAUGAAGUCAUAUUGGAAACAAUCAAGAUGCCCACCACCAAGGAAUUAGCUGAAUUGAUCCUGGGACCUGUUCUGACUGACAGAAUGUGGCACAAGUAAUACUGUAUAAUUUCUAAGGCUGGGCAUUAAGAGAUCCAUGGUUUCCCUGGCCUGUGUCACGACUCUCUUGGAGCCAGGAUACCAUGCUGUGAGGAAGCUCAAGCAGCCAUCAGCCAGCGCUCACUGUCAAAUAUGAGAUUGACCCAUUUUGGAUCUUCUCACCAUCCCAGCCCCGCCACCUAACAUGGCAUGAAAUAGAACAAUGUCAUGGUCAAUCCUCAGACCAUGAAAAAUAAAAAUAAAUUAAUGUUGUUUUAAGCAA